rnacentral:lncRNA from 1 species
AUCAAGACCUCAGUUACUUAGUACUUGAACACACAUGAUUAGCAAUUCAAUAUGUUAAGCAGUUUGGACUCAAGGACUUACCUGCCUCACAUCAGACAUUUGCUGAGAAUGUCUUCCAAUUCUUGUUGUUUGGGCUAUCUUUUGCAUUUCAAUGCCAAGGGAAUAUCAUAAGGAAGUGUGGUAUACGUCUAUGAUGGCAUAUGUCACCCUAUGGCUAUGAUAGUUGGGAACAGGGACAUGGCUGAGGGGUUCAGCUUAGAGAUAGUUUUCUUGCUCUGCUAGGGAUUCACUGUGUCCCUAGAACUGUUUGUCCUCAGACUUCUGUUUUAGACUAAGUAUAGUUUUCCUUGCACUAUGUCCUCAUAUAUGAAAGUUUACUUGUGUUUAUCUGCCUACAGAGUUUGCUCAGAAGGCAUCAUGCCAGCGCUCCUUGACCCCUGAGGAGGAGGAGAGGAUGAACAGUUUGGAGAAGCUAAGAAUUGCUCUCCACAAGAUGCAAAAGGAGAGAGAUGAACUCCAGAGAAUCCUGUCUUCUUACCCAAGGAAUGACCAAACUACAGCCAGGCUAUGGUAAAGGGAGCUCCUAUUGGAAGAUGCUGUUCACUUUGAAGCCAUCGGGAAACAGCGAGCCAGAGGAUGGAACAGACUCCUCCACCAACACCCCGUGGUCUACUGCCUGGAAUCAAGCCUACUGUGCACAGCCUUGGGACCUUGGUCUUCAAUUCUCCAUCAGAAGCUUGGUAGUGCACAGACCAGGACUACAUCUCUCUGUGAUAGAACUGUCCACCAGGAGCAUUCUCAGGAGAUAA